GCAGCGUCAGAUGUGUAGAAGAGAGAGUCCGGGGGUAGAGGUUCGACUCGAGCGGAGCGAGAGAACGUUGCGUCAGCAAUGGCCCGAAGGGCGAGCCACGUAGUGGCGAGUUAUCCUCUAUCACCGACCA
rnacentral:sRNA from 1 species